rnacentral:rRNA from 1 species
CAGUCGCCACGGUAAUACGGAGGGUGCAAGCGUUAAUCGGAAUUACUGGGCGUAAAGCGUGCGUAGGUGGUGGUUUAAGUCCGUUGUGAAAGCCCUGGGCUCAACCUGGGAAUUGCAGUGGAUACUGGGUCACUAGAGUGUGGUAGAGGAUAGUGGAAUUUCCGGUGUAGCAGUGAAAUGCGUAGAGAUCGGAAGGAACAUCUGUGGCGAAGGCGACUAUCUGGGCCAACACUGACACUGAGGCACGAAAGCGUGGGGAGCAAACAGGAUUAGAUACCCCUGUAGUCCCUGUCUCUUAUAC